rnacentral:rRNA from 1 species
GGACUUAGAUACAGGUGCUGCAUGGCUGUCGUCAGCUCGUGUCGUGAGAUGUUGGGUUAAGUCCGCAACGAGCGCAACCCUUUUCCUUAUUUGCCAGCGGGUAAUGCCGGGAACUUUAAGGAUACUGCCAGUGACAAACUGGAGGAAGGCGGGGACGACGUCAAGUCAUCAUGGCCCUUACGGCCAGGGCUACACACGUGCUACAAUGGUCGGUACAAAGGGUUGCUACCUCGCGAGAGGAUGCUAAUCUCAAAAAGCCGAUCGUAGUCCGGAUCGCAGUCUGCAACUCGACUGCGUGAAGUCGGAAUCGCUAGUAAUCGCGGAUCAGAAUGCCGCGGUGAAUACGUUCCCGGGCCUUGUACACACCGCCCGUCACACCAUGGGAGUUUGUUGCACCAGAAGUAGGUAGUCUAACCGCAAGGAGGACGCUUACCACGGUGUGGCCGAUGACUGGGGUGAAGUCGUAACAAGGUAGGCGUAGAUGA